GUUCAUUCGACAGCGAUUUACUUUCUUAGAAGUUGCGAGACGGUAUGUUUUUGAUUGCAAUUAUUGGAAGAUGACAGAUCCAUCUUUAAAAUGAUACCAGGUUCGGAAAAAUUGAUACGUCGGAAAGGCAAGAAAAAUGCUGUGAAAGUUGUCAGUUUUAUAAUGGGACCCUAUGGGAAUCGAUAUUAGUGUAAUAUAACCUUUAAAAAGCACAUUUACUGCAAUGUCAAGGUCACAUGGAUUCGUCUGCAAGCGAGACAAGUAGAAAAUGAAUUUUAAUGAAUGUUUUGAUGAUUUGGGUGCUAAAAUAGAUGAGAGGUGUCAAUAUUUUGGUCCAAAUGGAUGUUUUAGGUGGUUUUAGACGGUUCCGGAUGGGUGGGGGACCUGGUAUGGACAAGUAAGGGUAACAUUUCCAACAAAUCUUAAAUGUAAAUAUUAUUAUGUCCAUAGAUUGAAGUUUCAGGUGGAGAGCAAGAUGAAAAAUAUGCAAAAUUACAUGCAUGCAACCCAUUUAUGCCAUUUUUCUCUUUGUUUGUCGGCCUGGCCGUUUGUCCUUGAGCCGUAGAUGGUCAACAAUCCGCUAGCUGUCUUGCUCUGACUGGUGCACUGGACAUGAUUUCAAUAGUCAGCCAGACCAUGAUUGAGCUUAAGGAUUGUGCUGCGGAUGCAGCCUGUGCAGUUCCGGGAGAAAGUCACUGUCUCGGGCAAUGCGGUCUGGUAUCAGGUCUGGAUGAUCCUUGCCUGACUGCGGGUUUGUGUACACCUCAAUCCGACUCUGUGUCCUGAACAGAGGCCGCAGUGGUGCAGCGCUUGUGGACGAUCCAUCAACAUCCUGAAAGGUCAACACUACACCAAGCUGGGAAAAUUGAUCCUGAUAGUCAUCCCCAGGUAGUGGAAUGAAUGUUCACUGAACUACAGAGGAAUCACACCCAAAUGACUUUCCUGCCACGACAUUAGUGUGGCCACUCGCGUAGGAAUUCCUUAGCAAACAUGCUCUUUUGCAUGGUGACUGUGGACAUUUUUGCAAAACUUACGCUUUCAACACUGGAUUUUAAAGAGAAUACUUAAUAAAAUGUCGCUAACAGGACUUAUUUAUAUGAGAGAGACUAUCUGGAUGCGCAUUAAGUGUCACUUUGUGUCGUAAGCUGUUGAAGGAGCGAUUUGCGCCUUUUUAAGUGUUAAAUUUGGGUAGCCGGCUUGUAUCAGCUUGAAAGCUGAAAAUUAUGCCUCUCAUCAUAAUAGCAUUAAUUUUUGUAAUUGCAAUGUGUAUGUUUAGAUUGUAAGUGAAGCUUUUAAUAAUAAUUUUCUUAAAAAACAUGAUUUUAUAUGCUGUCAGUGAGUUUUUUAUUGAAAAAAGUGCUUAAAAUUAAAAAAAAGUCUCCUAUUUCAUCAAGAAAAGUACACUGAUUCACAAUCAAUACAUUUAUUUGGGCCUUUUGCUGAUAUAUUGGUGAAUUUCGCAUGCAAUGAUACCAGUUUUUGCCAUGAAAGUUACGCGUAACAAUAAUUGGAGACGCAAAAUCAGCUGUCGUCACUUAGACUAAAAAUCAUGCAUUCCGACUUGACUGCGGCCAAUUUAGUCACCGCUUCAAAUGGCCAUUUUAAGGCCUUUACCCCCAUCCGAAUGCACUGAAAUUGCAUAUUCAUUGUGGAAAUAGUUGAAAUCUCAUGUGGAGAAAGUUUGAAAAAGAUAGGACAAAGUUGAGUUCCCUUAAAGGUUACAUUACACUAAAUCAUUGUGUAUCCCUCCGUGGUCCAUUCGAAAGUAGUGCCUAUUUCUAAAGAGUUCCUUUUCUCUUCUUGAAUAUAAGCCAUUUAACAAUGUGAGACAUGACUUUUGUGGUUAUUUGUAAUAUUCUGUAUGUGUCUGGAGUACUUUGAUGCCUUGGAUUGGAAGCUAACUUAAAAGAUGAACUUUUGAGGGUGUGUUUUCUAUUGUGUGGGGCUUUUGUCGAAAUUAGGAUUCCGAAACACGUUUUUCUACGGUGGGUUCAUUCGACAGCGAUUUACUUUCUUAGAAGUUGCGAGACGGUAUGUUUUUGAUUGCAAUUAUUGGAAGAUGACAGAUCCAUCUUUAAAAUGAUACCAGGUUCGGAAAAAUUGAUACGUCGGAAAGGCAAGAAAAAUGCUGUGAAAGUUGUCAGUUUUAUAAUGGGACCCUAUGGGAAUCGAUAUUAGUGUAAUAUAACCUUUAAAAAGCACAUUUACUGCAAUGUCAAGGUCACAUGGAUUCGUCUGCAAGCGAGACAAGUAGAAAAUGAAUUUUAAUGAAUGUUUUGAUGAUUUGGGUGCUAAAAUAGAUGAGAGGUGUCAAUAUUUUGGUCCAAAUGGAUGUUUUAGGUGGUUUUAGACGGUUCCGGAUGGGUGGGGGACCUGGUAUGGACAAGUAAGGGUAACAUUUCCAACAAAUCUUAAAUGUAAAUAUUAUUAUGUCCAUAGAUUGAAGUUUCAGGUGGAGAGCAAGAUGAAAAAUAUGCAAAAUUACAUGCAUGCAACCCAUUUAUGCCAUUUUUCUCUUUGUUUGUCGGCCUGGCCGUUUGUCCUUGAGCCGUAGAUGGUCAACAAUCCGCUAGCUGUCUUGCUCUGACUGGUGCACUGGACAUGAUUUCAAUAGUCAGCCAGACCAUGAUUGAGCUUAAGGAUUGUGCUGCGGAUGCAGCCUGUGCAGUUCCGGGAGAAAGUCACUGUCUCGGGCAAUGCGGUCUGGUAUCAGGUCUGGAUGAUCCUUGCCUGACUGCGGGUUUGUGUACACCUCAAUCCGACUCUGUGUCCUGAACAGAGGCCGCAGUGGUGCAGCGCUUGUGGACGAUCCAUCAACAUCCUGAAAGGUCAACACUACACCAAGCUGGGAAAAUUGAUCCUGAUAGUCAUCCCCAGGUAGUGGAAUGAAUGUUCACUGAACUACAGAGGAAUCACACCCAAAUGACUUUCCUGCCACGACAUUAGUGUGGCCACUCGCGUAGGAAUUCCUUAGCAAACAUGCUCUUUUGCAUGGUGACUGUGGACAUUUUUGCAAAACUUACGCUUUCAACACUGGAUUUUAAAGAGAAUACUUAAUAAAAUGUCGCUAACAGGACUUAUUUAUAUGAGAGAGACUAUCUGGAUGCGCAUUAAGUGUCACUUUGUGUCGUAAGCUGUUGAAGGAGCGAUUUGCGCCUUUUUAAGUGUUAAAUUUGGGUAGCCGGCUUGUAUCAGCUUGAAAGCUGAAAAUUAUGCCUCUCAUCAUAAUAGCAUUAAUUUUUGUAAUUGCAAUGUGUAUGUUUAGAUUGUAAGUGAAGCUUUUAAUAAUAAUUUUCUUAAAAAACAUGAUUUUAUAUGCUGUCAGUGAGUUUUUUAUUGAAAAAAGUGCUUAAAAUUAAAAAAAAGUCUCCUAUUUCAUCAAGAAAAGUACACUGAUUCACAAUCAAUACAUUUAUUUGGGCCUUUUGCUGAUAUAUUGGUGAAUUUCGCAUGCAAUGAUACCAGUUUUUGCCAUGAAAGUUACGCGUAACAAUAAUUGGAGACGCAAAAUCAGCUGUCGUCACUUAGACUAAAAAUCAUGCAUUCCGACUUGACUGCGGCCAAUUUAGUCACCGCUUCAAAUGGCCAUUUUAAGGCCUUUACCCCCAUCCGAAUGCACUGAAAUUGCAUAUUCAUUGUGGAAAUAGUUGAAAUCUCAUGUGGAGAAAGUUUGAAAAAGAUAGGACAAAGUUGAGUUCCCUUAAAGGUUACAUUACACUAAAUCAUUGUGUAUCCCUCCGUGGUCCAUUCGAAAGUAGUGCCUAUUUCUAAAGAGUUCCUUUUCUCUUCUUGAAUAUAAGCCAUUUAACAAUGUGAGACAUGACUUUUGUGGUUAUUUGUAAUAUUCUGUAUGUGUCUGGAGUACUUUGAUGCCUUGGAUUGGAAGCUAACUUAAAAGAUGAACUUUUGAGGGUGUGUUUUCUAUUGUGUGGGGCUUUUGUCGAAAUUAGGAUUCCGAAACACGUUUUUCUACGGUGGGUUCAUUCGACAGCGAUUUACUUUCUUAGAAGUUGCGAGACGGUAUGUUUUUGAUUGCAAUUAUUGGAAGAUGACAGAUCCAUCUUUAAAAUGAUACCAGGUUCGGAAAAAUUGAUACGUCGGAAAGGCAAGAAAAAUGCUGUGAAAGUUGUCAGUUUUAUAAUGGGACCCUAUGGGAAUCGAUAUUAGUGUAAUAUAACCUUUAAAAAGCACAUUUACUGCAAUGUCAAGGUCACAUGGAUUCGUCUGCAAGCGAGACAAGUAGAAAAUGAAUUUUAAUGAAUGUUUUGAUGAUUUGGGUGCUAAAAUAGAUGAGAGGUGUCAAUAUUUUGGUCCAAAUGGAUGUUUUAGGUGGUUUUAGACGGUUCCGGAUGGGUGGGGGACCUGGUAUGGACAAGUAAGGGUAACAUUUCCAACAAAUCUUAAAUGUAAAUAUUAUUAUGUCCAUAGAUUGAAGUUUCAGGUGGAGAGCAAGAUGAAAAAUAUGCAAAAUUACAUGCAUGCAACCCAUUUAUGCCAUUUUUCUCUUUGUUUGUCGGCCUGGCCGUUUGUCCUUGAGCCGUAGAUGGUCAACAAUCCGCUAGCUGUCUUGCUCUGACUGGUGCACUGGACAUGAUUUCAAUAGUCAGCCAGACCAUGAUUGAGCUUAAGGAUUGUGCUGCGGAUGCAGCCUGUGCAGUUCCGGGAGAAAGUCACUGUCUCGGGCAAUGCGGUCUGGUAUCAGGUCUGGAUGAUCCUUGCCUGACUGCGGGUUUGUGUACACCUCAAUCCGACUCUGUGUCCUGAACAGAGGCCGCAGUGGUGCAGCGCUUGUGGACGAUCCAUCAACAUCCUGAAAGGUCAACACUACACCAAGCUGGGAAAAUUGAUCCUGAUAGUCAUCCCCAGGUAGUGGAAUGAAUGUUCACUGAACUACAGAGGAAUCACACCCAAAUGACUUUCCUGCCACGACAUUAGUGUGGCCACUCGCGUAGGAAUUCCUUAGCAAACAUGCUCUUUUGCAUGGUGACUGUGGACAUUUUUGCAAAACUUACGCUUUCAACACUGGAUUUUAAAGAGAAUACUUAAUAAAAUGUCGCUAACAGGACUUAUUUAUAUGAGAGAGACUAUCUGGAUGCGCAUUAAGUGUCACUUUGUGUCGUAAGCUGUUGAAGGAGCGAUUUGCGCCUUUUUAAGUGUUAAAUUUGGGUAGCCGGCUUGUAUCAGCUUGAAAGCUGAAAAUUAUGCCUCUCAUCAUAAUAGCAUUAAUUUUUGUAAUUGCAAUGUGUAUGUUUAGAUUGUAAGUGAAGCUUUUAAUAAUAAUUUUCUUAAAAAACAUGA